rnacentral:rRNA from 1 species
GGAUGGACACACCGCUGGUGUACCAGUUGUCUUGCCAAAGGCAUCGCUGGGUAGCUAUGUGUGGACGGGAUAAGUGCUGAAAGCAUCUAAGCAUGAAGCCCCCCUCAAGAUGAGAUUUCCCAUUACGCAAGUAAGUAAGACCCCUGAAAGACGAUCAGGUAGAUAGGUUCGAGAUGGAAGUGCAGCGAUGUACGGAGUUGACGAAUACUAAUAGGUCGAGGACUUAACCAAAUA